rnacentral:rRNA from 1 species
GAUUAACGCUAGCGGCAGGCCUAAUACAUGCAAGUCGAACGGCAGCACGGGUAGCAAUACCUGGUGGCGAGUGGCGCACGGGUGCGUAACGCGUAUGCAAUCUACCUAUAACUGGGGAAUAGCCUUCCGAAAGGAAGAUUAAAACCGCAUAAUAUCACGAAGCGGCAUCGUUUUGUGAUCAAAUCUCCGGAGGUUAUAGAUGAGCAUGCGUGACAUAGCUAGUUGGUGAGGUAACGGCUCACCAAGGCUACGAUGUCUAGGGGGUCUGAGAGGAUGACUCCCCCACCAC